rnacentral:rRNA from 1 species
UUAAGUGAUAAUUGCCUAGGAGAUACACCUGUUCUCAUGCCGAACACAGAAGAUAAGCCCUAGAACGCCGGAAGUAGUUGGGGGUUGCCCCCUGUGAGAUAAGGUAGUCGCUUAGC